GGAGCGGAACGCACUUGGCUCGGCAGCGCGCCAGCAACGCGUCCGGCAACACCAACACCAACCCAGUGGCACAGGUAAAAAAGUCCUUGCCAUGAACGUUUUGGGGACAGUAAGAUGGUUCAAUGUAAAAAACAAAUACGGUCUCAUAACCUGGAAUGAUAACAAAGAAGAUGUGUUUGUUCAUCAGACUGCUAUAAAAAGGAAUAAUCCCAAGAAACACCUCCAGAGUCUGGGAGAUGGAGAAAUUGUGGAAUUUAAUAUAAUACAAGGAAGAAAAGGCCCCCAAGAAGCCGAUGUGACAGGACCUGGUGGAGUUCCAGUGCAAGGUAGCAAACAUGCACCAGACUACAAACCUUCAAAAUAUUAUCCACACCAUAGAAGUCCUCCACACACCUACCAAAGAAAUAGAACCCCAAAACAACAACCAUCAAGCCCCAGCAACAGCCUAAAAGCAAGAAGAGCACAGAACACAGGUGAGCUGUCCUGAAUCCAAAAGCCCAUGUCAAUAAUGAAAGAACCUUUCAGUCCGUUUCCAACAGGCACACCACCACCUACACUGCCUUGUGCAGAGUCUAUCACAGCUGACCAUUUUACCACAGGAGACAGAGAAACAGCCCCUGCUGAAGAAAUCUUCUCCUGACUCAGUUUCCUGAAGAACUGUGCUAAGAAAACCCCACAUCUAUCCUGCCAGCUCUAAGACACUCCAAAAAAAUCUGUUUGGACAUUGGGGACUCGUAACUGUUUGCAUUUUGAAAAUUGUCUUUUAGGUGCUUUUGAAUGUGUUUGCCAUUUUGAGUUAAUUCAGUUGUUCCUUCAGAAAAGCUUUCUUAAUAAUAUAAAAAACGGGGAGUUGUGGAGGCCCUGGAGGAGCUUCUGCUAAGUUACACCCCAUUGGCUCCUUCCCCUGUUCCGAUGCCUGAACAUAGGUGUUCCUGAGGCUCUCCCUCCCUUUUCCCUGCCUAGGCCUCACCUUGAUACUGCCCGGAGACCAAGGUCAGUCGGGAGGCCCCUGGGGAGAGAGUGGGACCUUGGGGGGUGCGGAUCUGAGAGUAGAACAUCUCCCUGCGUGGCUGAAUUAAACAUCUAUGGAUAUUAUGCAAAAGCCUUUUUUGCUUCUUUACCCUGGACUUUACUAGCAGCAAUUUAGUCUGCAACAGAUUAGAUUUACGUGAACCCACCUGCAAACACAAUAAAGAGAGUGAGUGAGACCCUACAGCCAGGCUCUGAGCUGCAUGAUGCUGCAGAUUCAGCCCAAGUUUCCAUCUUCUGAUGUGAACCAGAUUCACAUGGCUGACAUCCCUACAAAAGCCCCUCCAUUUAGGGAGGGGCUGCACCCGUCCUGGCUGUGCCUCAGAGCACAUACAUUGUUAUUUUUUUCAACUUUUGCGAAAAGAACAGCUUUGACUGUACUCAUGGACAGCUAUAAAACCACCUAACUGGUACAGCUGCAAAAAGUUUUGAUUGCAUUGCCAGUGAUCCAAGAAUGAGUUUCAGUUUCAGUUUGGCUAUAUCAUGUUUUCCUGUAUUGAAACUAAAAAAAUAUUGGGAAGGAUGUAAUAACAAAGGAGAGCAGAAAAACAA